ensembl:lncRNA
UCAGCCUUCGUCUUGACGCUGUGACGCAAUCGCACUAAACAUCAGCACUUCGGAGUCCAUGCACUUAAGUUUGGGACACAGCUACAGUUAGACACAACUGCGGCAGCUCUUCAUCAACGCUCAUCUUUUACAGCAAGUCACAGGACAUCGCAUACAAACCAUGACAAGUUGGGGGAGCCUGGAUGAAGUGGGUGAAGCAUGGUGGGAGUCGGCAUAUAAGCUGUUUCUUGAAAACGAUCCAGUGAGAACGACUCUGAGUAAUGUUGCUUAUUAUAUAAGUGGCGAUAACUGGGAUGAUUAUGGAUUCAGCCGUGACACACACGUUCCUCCAACUGGGGAAUUCCGUGGUGUUUCUAGAAAGGCAAUCUUGGUGGUGAUUUCAAGAAAAAGGAGCAUGGAGUGGGGUGACUGGAAGAAGUUACAAGGGACAAGAUCUGAUACUGAACCUGAGGAUCUAAACCACUCGGACAAGAGAGUUAUAAACUGGAUUACUGAAGAGAUAUAUAACGAGGACGGCAGCCCAAAACCAUUUAAUAGAUAGGCUGAAGAAUAUUAAUGAUAAUGUUACUGAAAGAGCAUUUGUAACUUUGAAAGAACCUUUACAGAAUGGGAUGAGUGUUUUUAUUAUAACCUUUCCUUUUAUUAUUCUUAUUACUAUAUCCAUCAGUUAAUCAGACUGAGUAUAUGUUCUGCAACAUAGACCCGAGUCUAUAGUAAUGAUCAAUUCUAUUCAUAAUUAACUCAAGAUCAAGGACUUGUUUUAUCUUCGAUUAUAUUAGGCAACUGAUGUACUUCCAGCAUUGUGCAUGUGACUGCAAUAAACAUCCAUUCAAAAAGGCAAA